rnacentral:lncRNA from 1 species
CUCUUCUCCCUCUCUUCUCCUCUUCUCUUCUCUUCUCUUCUCCUCCUCUCUUCUCCUCUCCUCUCUCCUCCUCUCCUCUCCUCUCCUCUCCCCUCCUCUCCUCUUCCUCUCCUCUCCUCAUUCAUCCCUCCUUCCACAGCCACAGCAUUCUGUAGAUACAGGAAAACAGGAAGUGACAAGACAACUUGUUCUGGGUGAAAGGUCACUAAGUGGUUUAGACCAGACUAGUAGAUUACGGUAGAUGGAGAUGAGUUGAACUCAACAGGGAAACCACUGAUGGAGUUGAAUGUUCUGGACUUCCAUACUUCAUAUCAAAGGCUUCAUGCACACUGUACGAACAGGUGUAUACAGGUGUAGAUAUGAACAGGUGUAGAUAUGAACAGGUGUAGAUAUGAACAGGUGUAGACAGGUGUAGAUAUGAACAGGUGUAGAUAUGAACAGGUGUAUACAGGUGUAGAUAUGAACAGGUGUAGAUAUGAACAGGUGUAGAUAUGAACAGGUGUAGACAGGUGUAGAUAUGAACAGGUGUAGAUAUGAACAGGUGUAGAUAUGAACAGGUGUAUACAGGUGUAGAUAUGACCAGGUGUAUACAGGUGAAUAUAUGAACAGGUGUAUACAGGUGUAGAUAUGAACAGGUGUAUACAGGUGUAGAUAUGAACAGGUGUAUACAGGUGAAUAUAUGAACAGGUGUAGAUAU